CUCCUUUGAAGACAGUCCUGAGGAGGUGGUCCUUCUUCAUCCAUGUUGGAUUCAGAUGUUACCUUACCAGAUGGGGACCUUUGAAAAUGCAUGUAGGAUCUUUACACAGUUCCAGUCCAGGGGAAUCUCUCUGAACCAUUCAUGACCCCACAGAGCAGGUCCCCCUUUUUCAAUUAUACAGGAAAUCUGGGCAUUGUACAGGCAACAUUCUUGGCAGCUGGAGAACUUCAACCAACAUUUCUUAUGUUCUUUUCUGAGGACUAGAUCAUUUGACUGACU